rnacentral:rRNA from 1 species
UACGAAGGGGGCUAGCGUUGCUCGGAAUCACUGGGCGUAAAGGGCGCGUAGGCGGCCAUUCAAGUCGGGGGUGAAAGCCCAGGGCUCAACCCUGGAAUUGCCUUCGAUACUGUUUGGCUAGAGACCGGAAGAGGUAAGUGGAACUGCGAGUGUAGAGGUGAAAUUCGUAGAUAUUCGCAAGAACACCGGUGGCGAAGGCGGCCAACUGGACGAACACUGACGCUGAGACUCGAAAGCGUGGGGAGCAAACAGG